rnacentral:rRNA from 1 species
AGAGUUUGAUCCUGGCUCAGGAUGAACGCUAGCGACAGGCUUAACACAUGCAAGUCGAGGGGCAUCAUGAGGUAGCAAUACCUUGAUGGCGACCGGCGCACGGGUGAGUAACGCGUAUGCAACCUGCCCGAUACCGGGGUAUAGCCCAUGGAAACGUGGAUUAACACCCCAUAGUACUUUUAUCCUGCAUGGGAUGUGAGUUAAAUGUUCAAGGUAUCGGAUGGGCAUGCGUCCUAUUAGUUAGUUGGCGGGGUAACAGCCCACCAAGACGAUGAUAGGUAGGGGUUCUGAGAGGAAGGUCCCCCACAUUGGAACUGAGACACGGUCCAAACUCCUACGGGAGGCAGCAGUGAGGAAUAUUGGUCAAUGGACGAGAGUCUGAACCAGCCAAGUCGCGUGAGGGAAGACUGCCCUAUGGGUUGUAAACCUCUUUUAUAAGGGAAGAAUAAGUUCUACGUGUAGAAUGAUGCCUGUACCUUAUGAAUAAGCAUCGGCUAACUCCGUGCCAGCAGCCGCGGUAAUACGGAGGAUGCGAGCGUUAUCCGGAUUUAUUGGGUUUAAAGGGUGCGUAGGCGGACCAUCAAGUCAGCGGUCAAAAGUCGGGGCUCAACCCCGUAAAGCCGUUGAAACUGGCGGUCUGGAGUGAGCGAGAAGCAGGCGGAAUGCGUGGUGUAGCGGUGAAAUGCAUAGAUAUCACGCAGAACCCCGAUUGCGAAGGCAGCCUGCCGGCGCUCAACUGACGCUGAGGCACGAAAGUGCGGGGAUCGAACAGGAUUAGAUACCCUGGUAGUCCGCACAGUAAACGAUGAAUGCUAGCUGUCCGGGUCGAAUGAGACCUGGGUGGCACAGCGAAAGCGUUAAGCAUUCCACCUGGGGAGUACGCCGGCAACGGUGAAACUCAAAGGAAUUGACGGGGGCCCGCACAAGCGGAGGAACAUGUGGUUUAA